GUUCAGGAAAAUCCCUAUCAGGGAAACAACGAUUGGAUCAAAGAAAGGGCACUACAAUUGUUUUAAAAGAUGGUUUUGAAUUGCACGACAACAGUCAAACACCUAAUGAUACGGUUCUGGCAUAUCUGGGCGACGAUACUGUCAUAAAAUCACGCGUAUAAACUCGAGCAGUAAAAGAGGCUUUCCUUGGAGUCUACAUCAAGAGGUAUAGAAAAGAUAACAAAAAUCAGUAUCCUUUUUAUAAAUCUAUAUUAUACAAUUAAACCAAUUAUAUUGUAUAUAUUACAAUAAACUAUCAGGCUUUUGAAUAUCAAUAACAUUACAUAUAUUAUUAGCAACAUCCUCCUGGC